AACGAACGCUGGCGGCAUGCCUAACACAUGCAAGUCGAGCGAGAUCUUCGGGUCUAGUGACGCACGGGUGCGUAACGCGUGGGAAUCUGCCCUUUGGUUCGGAAUAACAGUUGGAAACGACUGCUAAUACCGGAUGAUGACGAAAGUCCAAAGAUUUAUCGCCAGAGGAUGAGCCCGCGUAGGAUUAGCUAGUUGGUGUGGUAAAGGCGCACCAAGGCGACGAUCCUUAGCUGGUCUGAGAGGAUGAUCAGCCACACUGGGACUGAGACACGGCCCAGACUCCUACGGGAGGCAGCAGUGGGGAAUAUUGGACAAUGGGCGAAAGCCUGAUCCAGCAAUGCCGCGUGAGUGAUGAAGGCCUUAGGGUUGUAAAGCUCUUUUACCCGGGAUGAUAAUGACAGUACCGGGAGAAUAAGCGCCGGCUAACUCCGUGCCAGCAGCCGCCGUAA
rnacentral:rRNA from 1 species